GUCCAGACUCCUACGGGAGGCAGCAGUGGGGAAUAUUGCACAAUGGGGGAAACCCUGAUGCAGCGACGCCGCGUGAGUGAAGAAGUAUUUCGGUAUGUAAAGCUCUAUCAGCAGGGAAGAAGCAGACGGUACCUGACUAAGAAGCCCCGGCUAACUACGUGCCAGCAGCCGCGGUAAUACGUAGGGGGCAAGCGUUAUCCGGAUUUACUGGGUGUAAAGGGAGCGUAGACGGCUAAGCAAGUCUGAAGUGAAAGCCCGGGGCUUAACCCCGGGACUGCUUUGGAAACUGUUAAGCUAGAGUGCUGGAGAGGUAAGUGGAAUUCCUAGUGUAGCGGUGAAAUGCGUAGAUAUUAGGAGGAACACCAGUGGCGAAGGCGGCUUACUGGACAGUAACUGACGUUGAGGCUCGAAAGCGUGGGGAGCAAACAGGAUUAGAUACCCUAGUAC
rnacentral:rRNA from 1 species